CCAUCGGUGGUUCAGUGGUAGAAUGCUCGCCUGCCACGCGGGCGGCCCGGGUUCGAUUCCCGGCCGGCUGAUGCA
rnacentral:tRNA from 1 species